rnacentral:rRNA from 1 species
UGCGUAGGCGGCCUUUCAGGUGGGGUGUGAAAGCCCACGGCUUAACCGUGGAAUUGCGCUCCAAACCGGAAGGCUUGAGGGAGAUAGGGGUGAGCGGAACUGAUGGUGGAGCGGUGAAAUGCGUUGAUAUCAUCAGGAACACCGGUGGCGAAGGCGGCUCACUGGGUCUCUUCUGACGCUGAGGCACGAAAGCUAGGGUAGCGAACG